rnacentral:rRNA from 1 species
GUCCACGCCCUAAACGAUGAUGACUAGUUGUUGGAGGAGUUAAAUCCUUUAGUAACGCAGCUAACGCGUGAAGUCAUCCGCCUGGGGAGUACGGUCGCAAGAUUAAAACUCAAAGGAAUUGACGGGGGCCCGCACAAGCGGUGGAUGAUGUGGUUUAAUUCGAUGCAACGCGAAAAACCUUACCUACCCUUGACAUGCCAGGAACGCUGCAGAAAUGCAGCGGUGCCCGAAAGGGAACCUGGACACAGGUGCUGCAUGGCUGUCGU